AUUACUUUGGCAGAUAAUAUGCAUUAGACUUAGGAUCUAAUUAAAUAGGCCGGUCCUAUAGGUAAUU
rnacentral:tRNA from 1 species